AUGCAGCUGAAGAGUCCCAAAUAGGACGAAACACACGUCCUAGAU
rnacentral:hammerhead_ribozyme from 1 species